rnacentral:rRNA from 1 species
CGCGGCCUAUCAGCUUGUUGGUGAGGUAAUGGCUCACCAAGGCGACGACGGGUAGCCGGCCUGAGAGGGCGACCGGCCACACUGGGACUGAGACACGGCCCAGACUCCUACGGGAGGCAGCAGUGGGGAAUAUUGCACAAUGGGCGAAAGCCUGACGCAGCGACGCCGCGUGAGGGAUGACGGCCUUCGGGUUGUAAACCUCUUUCAGCAGGGAAGAAGCGAAAGUGACGGUACCUGCAGAAGAAGCGCCGGCUAACUACGUGCCAGCAGCCGCGGUAAUACGUAGGGCGCAAGCGUUGUCCGGAAUUAUUGGGCGUAAAGAGCUCGUAGGCGGUUUGUCGCGUCUGCUGUGAAAGCCCGGGGCUCAACCCCGGGUCUGCAGUGGGUACGGGCAGACUAGAGUGCAGUAGGGGAGACUGGAAUUCCUGGUGUAGCGGUGAAAUGCGCAGAUAUCAGGAGGAACACCGAUGGCGAAGGCAGGUCUCUGGGCAUGUCCUGACGCUGAGGAGCGAAAGCGUGGGGAGCGAACAGGAUUAGAUACCCUGGUAGUCCACGCCGUAAACGGUGGGUGCUAGGUGUGGGGGACUUCCACGUCCUCCGUGCCGCAGCUAACGCAUUAAGCACCCCGCCUGGGGAGUACGG